UUGCGGUUAAAAAGCUCGUAGUUGGAUUUCUGUCGGUGAGUGGCGGUCUGCCCAAGUGGUUUGUACACGUUACCCCACCGGCAUCUUCUUGGGGAAUGUGUCUGCACUUUACUGUGUGGCGCACGAUCCAGGACUUUUACUUUGAGGAAAUGAGAGUGUUUCAAGCAGGCAUUCGCCGUGAAUACGUUAGCAUGGAAUAAUAGCAUCGGACCUCGUUCCAAAGCUGUUGGUUUCUUGGAUCGAGGUAAAGGUGAAUAGGGAUUGUUGGGGGCAUUCGUAUUUAACUGUCAGAGGUGAAAUUCUUGGAUUUGUUGAAGACGGACUACUGCGAAAGCAUCUGCCAAAGAUGUUCUCAUUGAUCAAGAACGAAUGUUAGGUGAUCGAAGACGAUCAGAUACCGUCCUAGUCUUAACCAUAAACUAUGCCGACUGGAGAUCGGUGGGUGCUAUAUAUGUGGCGCCAUCUGCAUCUUGAGAGAGAUCAAAGUCUUUGGGUUCCGGGGGGAGUAUGGUCGCAAGGCUGAAACUUAAAGGAAUUGACGGAAGGGCACCACCAGGAGUGGAGCCUGCGGCUUA
rnacentral:rRNA from 1 species